AUUUUUCGCCUCUUAAAAUUAAUAAUAGCUCUUAUUUUUUCAGAGAAUAAACCAAGUCUGAAAAUAAAAAAAAGAGACGCGCGUUUAAGGAUUCCCUAUUUGCCCUAACAAUCGACCCCUCUUCUUUUCUUCCCUUGUGUCUGCUUGCUUCGCGUAUUUCUCCUCAGCAUCGGACGACGCCAGACGCCGCCCACCCUAGUCCCCGACGACGCUACAACAACGUCGCCUUCCUCCGCCGCCUCCAUCUACGUGUCGUUCUUCCGCCGACCGCAGCAGCCAACAAAAAGGUAUUCUUCGGUUUCUUCUUCUGUUUCUUCAUUCUUUCCCUCGAAUUCACUGUUUCUUCUUCUAUUUCUUCCUUCUUUUCCCUCAUACUAACAUAAAAAACUGAAAUUGAUAGCACACUGUUUCUUCUUCUAUUUCUUCCUUCUUUGCCCUUAAACUUGAACAUAAAAAACUGAAAUUGUUAUGCUAUCAGUUGUGCAUUUGAUGUGUUGGAUCAUGUUUGUUUUUGGUAGUGAUUUUAACAACAAAGUUGUCCCCCAUGUUGCCCCUCUAGUCUUGAUUUGCUAUUAUAGGUCGAUUCAGGGGUUGGAAAUUAUUGAUCAGUUGAAAAAAGAACAGGGGAAAGAGAGAUCAAGAAAAACAAUGGAGGGGUAUUUUUGUCCAACAUUCUGCUGGGACAUUUGUUGUAAUGCUGGAGAAAAAGUAUGGAUGUAUUUGUUUAGCUUGAACAUUUGUUGUUGUUGUUUUUUCCGAUCAUUUUUUUUCUAAUAGAUUUGUUGAUCACGCCAAGAUAUUUGUAUGUUUUCAUGGAUUUGAAAGAAUUUCUGUUGUAUUUUGGAUUUGUGUUUAAUUUGGAUUUUGUAUGGUGUUAAAUAUAAGAAAAAAUGGUCAUUUUUGUAAACAUAAACAUUGAAUUCAACAAAAAAUAAUAGAAAUGAUAAAAUGGUCAUUUUUGUAAUUCAGCAUAGCAAUUCAGAGGUUUCAACCAAACAACAUAUUAAAAAUUCAGAUCUUAAAAAUUCAGAUCCUUUUAGAAAUUCAGACCUCUUAAAAAUUCAGAGCUUAAAAGUUCAGAUCCUGCCAAACAGCCCCUUAGCUACAGUAGAGUUGGUGAAUUUUUAACAUGUUUGGUCCACAUAUUUGCUAUAUGUCACAAUUGGUCCAAUUGUUCAUCGAAAUUGCAAUUUGGCCCUGCUCAAUGUCACCGCUUUUUUUCCCUACAUUUCAUCUCCUUGGUUUGAGAGCCCUCCUGUACAUGUGGUGGCGUUGGGAUAUCCACUACGUGUUUUCCGUUCAACCUUCUCUCUUCUCUACUCACCGAUUCUCCUAUAAUCCACCGCUCCUUUCCUCUAAUCAUUCAACUCCACCGCCAUCGCAUAUGAGUUCCAGAAAUAGUGGGGAUCGAUUUCGCCUUCCGCCUCCUUCUUCCCGAACCCCUUAGUCGCACGCUCCCGUAAAUAUUUUAGAGAAGCAAUAUGUAACUUCCGCUCAUGGCUUCUAAUUCUGUGGGUCCGGCUUCUGAUUGUUUUCAAGCAACUUCAGUUUUAUUUUUCUCAUCUAAAUUCAUGUUAUUUAUCUUUUUUCCUUUUCUGCUUCAAGGCUUCUGAUUGCUUGGUUUCAUAAAUUUCUUCUAUUUUUCCAUCAUCUGAACAAUCAUGGAGCAGAAAUCGACUAAACGCUCUUCACUCAAGUUGCCCAUAGUGAAAAUAUCACUACAGUUGAAGAGAUUCAUACAUACAGUUUGAAACAAUUAAGUUCUUUCAUAGAAGUGGAGGAGCCUGUGGCAAUGGACUCUUCUAAUACAUCAAAAUCAUGUCAAUAUUGGGUUGUCAGUGGUUCUAUUUCAGGUUUUUAUGUGAUAAUAUCAUUAUCCAAGAUUCGGGUGAGAAUUAUAUAUCAUGUUUAUUUUAAAAGUUUGAGAAGCUACAAGUUGAUGCUUAUAUGACAUAUAUUAUUAUGUCUCCAGAUGUUGCUUUGAAUUUCUAAAAUUUAUGGUUUCUUCACCAAAGAAAGAACUGUCACUGUGCAGCUAAGGAAAUUACAUAUAUAUGGUACAAGAUCGUAUUUUUUGUUUCUUAUUGUAGUUCACAAGUUUAUUACCACAAAAUCCAUUGACAAAAUUCAGUAAAGUGGAUUUAUCUCAUAUCAGUUGUGUGCUUAUUUAUUUGUUUCCAUUCAUUUUUUCAUUCUGUAUGUUUUGUUUCUAAUAAGUACUUAUGAAUUUAUUCUUAUUCUUUA